rnacentral:ribozyme from 14 species
UUUUUUUUUUUUUUUUAGUGGUCCUUGGUCCAGCACCCUACUGUAGUAGGUCUUACACACACUAGCCAAGCACAGCAACGAUACUUCAGCAGUAUCUAAGACUUUUUUAAUUAUUUAUUGUCAUUAUUGUACAACAACAUAAAGAGGGAAAAAACACUGCUGGGGUUGGUCUUACUGCCCUUUCUAUUUUCCC